UACGUAGGGUGCGAGCGUUAAUCGGAAUUACUGGGCGUAAAGCGUGCGCAGGCGGUUUUGUAAGCCAGAUGUGAAAUCCCCGGGCUUAACCUGGGAAUGGCAUUUGGGACUGCAAGGCUGGAGUUUGGCAGAGGAGACUGGAAUUCCUGGUGUAGCAGUGAAAUGCGUAGAUAUCAGGAGGAACACCCAUUGCGAAGGCAGCUCGCUGGGACGUUACUGACGCUGAGACGCGAAAGCGUGGGGAGCGAACAGG
rnacentral:rRNA from 1 species